CUGCGCCCCACUGGUGACGGCCCAGUUCAAUAGCAGCUUUAAGAUUAGCGACUUCUAUAGCAGCGUCAACGUUAGGCACUUUGAUAGCAGUUCAGGGCAGACUUUUGUCAGCGAACGGAGUAGGCAGGAUUCCUAGACACAACAAGAUUGAUGCCGAGGAUGGACGAAUUAGAUUGACGACGAGGUGAACGAAUACCAUAUCGACAAUCUGUAAACCAGCUGCCACAGAUUUGUUUUGUCGUGACCUUUCCUAUUUUGCUGGCACCUUAAUUCUACCUUGUCUUUUCUUUGCAAGGUUUCAGACGCAGCAGACUGCAACCCUCCUAAACACAGUACAGCAGUUACUAAGAAAUCAAGCAACGAACGCUGGACAACAUGCAACAACUGUAGGUCCGAUUACCAUACCGCCUUUUCCUCAGUUUAAUGAACAAGAGGAAUGCCUCGAGUAGUUGCAACAGUAUGAAGGCCACAUCAUUCCUCACAAAGUAUCAGGUAAAGAGAGAAUCCGCAAAGCAGAUAUUGCUAAUUUAAAAUGCACAAAAGAAGCUAGACAGAAAAGAAGAGGGACCAAGGGAAGAAAAGAAGAUCAGUAUGACUCAGAUGAUGCUGGAAAAUAUUUGUGGAAAGGAAAUGCCGAGCCAUGGAACAAUACCAAAAUACUGGGCUAUUCUUCACAAAACGACCAACAGCAUGCUACAGUCAUCGAAUACGUCUCGUGGCGAGAAGAGGCUGUUCGAGAGGGCUGCACUCGCCAAAGGGAUGGAUGCGGUGACCAGGAGGGUGCCGUUUAGGCCACUGAGGAUGGCCGGUAUUCAGAAGGCUGCCGCCGACCACCCCACUGCCACCGGAUGCUUCCAGCAGCCUCCCAUAACCCGAGCACUCCCAAAUU